rnacentral:rRNA from 1 species
CGUGCAUAACACAUGCAGGUCGAACGAUGAAACUUAGUAGACUUCUUCGGAAAGACACUAAGCGGAUUAGUGGCGAACGGGUGAGUAACGCGUGAGUAACCUGCCUUACACAAGGGGAUAGCCUUGGAAACGAAGAAUAAUACCCUAUAAAACUAUAAAAGCACAUGCUAGAAUGGUCAAAGUGCUAGCGGUGUAAGAUGGACUUGCGUCUGAUUAGCUAGUUGGUGAGAUAAAAGCUCACCAAGGCAACGAUCAGUAGCCGGCUUGAGAGAGUGUACGGCCACAUUGGGACUGAGACACGGCCCAGACUCCUACGGGAGGCAGCAGUGGGGAAUUUUGCACAAUGGGGGAAACCCUGAUGCAGCGACGCCGCGUGAUUUAGAAGGCCUUCGGGUUGUAAAAAUCUUUUGUAUAGGAAGAAAAUGACAGUACUAUACGAAUAAGGUCCGGCUAAUUACGUGCCAGCAGCCGCGGUAAUGCGUAAGGACCGAGCGUUGUCCGGAAUCAUUGGGCGUAAAGGGUACGUAGGCGGCUAGAAAAGUUAGAAGUCAAAGGCUAUAGCUCAACUAUAGUAAGCUUCUAAAACUAUUUAGCUUGAGAAAUGGAAGGGAAAGUGGAAUUCCUAGUGUAGCGGUGGAAUGCGCAGAUAUUAGGAAGAAUACCGGUGGCGAAGGCGACUUUCUGGCCAUUAUCUGACGCUGAGGUACGAAAGCGUGGGUAGCAAACAGGAUUAGAUAUCCUGGUAGUCCACGCCGUAAACGAUGAGUGUUAGGUGUCUGGAGUCAAAUCUGGGUGCCGCAGCAAACGCAUUAAACACUCCGCCUGGGGAGUACGCACGCAAGUGUGAAACUCAAAGGAAUUGACGGGGACCCGCACAAGCAGCGGAGCAUGUGGUUUAAUUCUACGCAUCGCGAAGAACCUUACCAAGUCUUGAGAUAUUACAGAACCAGAUAGAGAUAAAUGCUUACAUCUUCCGAUGACUGUAAUACAGGUGGUGCAUGGUUGUCGUCAGCUCGUGUCGUGAGAUGUUGGGUUAAGUCCCAUAACGAGCGCAACCCCUAUUGCUAGUUACCAUCAUUAAGUUGGGGACUCUAGUAAUACUGCCGGUGACAAACCGGAGGAAGGUGGGGAUGACGUCAAAUCAUCAUGCCCUUUAUGACUUGGGCUACACACGUGCUACAAUGGCAGGUACACACGGUUGCACGACUGCGAAGUUAAGCGAACCUCAAAAAGCCUGUCCCACUUCGGAUGUGACUCUGCCACUCACUUGCAUGAAGUUGGACUUGCUAGCAAUCGUAGCAUCAAAUUGCCGCGGUGAAAUGCGUUCCCGGGCUCU